AAGGAAGGGGAGAGAAGAGAGGAGAGGAGAGGAGGUGAAAAAAGUAGUUCUGGGAAUAUAACUCCGUGUGAAGUCCUGGGUUCAAUUCCUGGACACACACACACACACACACACACACACACACACACACACACACGAUUAUGGGUUUAGUUAAAUAGUAUUUACCUGCCUCCAGGGCUUAGGUUUGUGUCCAUGGGGGUGGUAGGAGAAUUACUGAAGCACUAGUUUCAAAAUCACCACUGUCCUCUAUUUUGAAAUUUUGUUUUAUCUGAUACAUAGUCUCUAAAUUGCCCAGGCUAGGUUCAAACCUGAGACUCUCCUGCCUCAGCCUCCCAAAAUACUGGGAUUACAGCAUGCACCACCACGCCCUAGCCCACCAUCUUGGAGCUGAACGAACAUCUUUAGGAUGAAAUCUUUCCCAGGCUUUGCGAACUCCCACACGGGGCAGUUCUUCCAGGACCCUCCAUCAGCCGUCCCAUUCCAGAGGCUCCAGCCCCGCCCCGCCGUCCAAACGAGGAACCCCACCCCACUCUCAGCCAAAAGCUUGGGAGAAACCGUUAAGGCCAGGUCCAAGGGGGUGGAGCCUAGGACUGAGCAGGCCAAUUGGUGAGCACCUUCUCCCUAGGCGACUAGUGAUUGGUUCAGGGAUGGCGAGGGGGCCCUCGGCAAACCGGCUAACGCCGUGGAGUGAUUUGUUGAAGUAAAGGAGAGACAGAGGGAACGUCCACGUGGCUGGCGUAGCUACAGAAGCUUCUGGAAGUCCUUGAAAUCACAGGCACGCCAACAACUGGGGACGCAUCCAACCGUGAGAAGGUGGAGGGGACAAGCAGACAGUGCACAUUUGUGACCUAGGUGAAUUCUGAACCCUUCAGCUUUGAACGCAGUAACUCUCCCUGCUUAAACCAAGUCAGUUUGGCCAGCGGUGAUGGUGCCCUUCUUGGAAUCCUGUGCAUCUGGAGGCUGAGGCAGGAGCAUUGGAAGUUCAAGCCCAGCGGAGCGUCCUGCUCUGCAGCUUCCUUGGUCAACGCUCCCCAUGCCGAAGAGCCGGGCGUUGGCACGGGCCGCGAGCGCCUGGAAGUUCUUUCCUUCCUCUGCGACAGCCUUGGCCUCCUCUGGCAGACGCUCCCGAUGGGCAUCGCAGGUCCUGUGAGCCGGGUGGCCAGUUUGAGGUCGUCAGCAGAGCAUGUCCCUUCUUCAGGGCGGUGGCUUCCCGGGGAAGAGGAUGAGUUUGCCGCAUGUUUCAGCGCCCCCACGCUGCCCCGCAGACUCGGGGGGUUUGUCCCCUGCUGGGGUCCGCUGCGGGGCCGCGGCCUGGGCCACCUCCUCGUGGAUACCAGCCACCCACAGCUCCUCAGACUGACGCCCCUGCCGGCUCAGACCUCGGUGUGGUGUCACACGGGAUGGGUCUGGACGCGGCAGGGGUCAGGGUCAGGGUCAGGGUCAGGGUCAGGGUCAGGGUCAGGGUCAGGGUUAGGGUUCGGUUUAGCGGAAGGUUUUAGGGUUAAGGUUUAGUCUUAGGAUUUGGGGUUGGAGUUAGUGUUAGGGGUAGGGUUUCGGGUUAGGGUUGGGCUUAGGGUAAGGGGUUAGGGUUAGGGU